ensembl:antisense Lrp8os1 low density lipoprotein receptor-related protein 8, apolipoprotein e receptor, opposite strand 1
GAGGACAGUGGGAAAUCCAGGACAAAGGGAAUGAGAGCUACUGCUAUGUAUAAUAAGAAUGCAAGCCAAGGGAAGCGUCAUGGUCACAGGGACUCUUGUGCCACCUGUGGCUGUGUGACCUUAUUCAAGAUGCACUACUUCUCUGAACCUCAUAAACCCCACAGGGCUGCUAUGAGGAACAAAUGGGCUAAGGAUGGUGCUAGGGAUUUGUGAACUGAGAAACAAAAGGGGACAUGACUGAGUAUAAAGUCACAGUCCUGGCCCCAACUGAAGGGCGUAUGGUGUGCACGGCUCUCCGUCUGCACAUCCGGGUGGUGGUGCUCCUCCUCGGGUAAUGGAGGUAUGGUGCUGACUGGUCCUUCAGCAGCUCCCAGCCCCUGUAUGCUCCUGCAAAUUACCAUGCUCACUCAUCACUCCCACCCCGCCACCCCCAGAGGCGUCCUUCCCCAAACAACACACAUCCUCAAACCAAGGACCCCACCCACACUCCUGUGCAGAGAUGUGGCUUCAAAUAAGCCAGCUGCCAGCUGCUCCUGGGAGCCGAGAGAAUGUUCCACCAAGAUACAUUUCCCAGAGAAUGAGGAAGACUCCACAGCUGCCGAGGAGGCAAGAGACCCGUACCGAGAUCCUCUCGUGGCCGGAUCCCUUAAGCAAAGUCCUCUUUGCUAUUAAGUUAGUAAAUGUUCCCCUUGAGUCUU